GGCUCUUUAGCUCAGUUGGUAGAGCAGAGGCCUGAAGAGCCUUUUGUCCCCAGUUCGAGUCUGGGAGGAGCCACCA
rnacentral:tRNA from 1 species